GGAGAGGUCGCAUAGCCCGGCCGAGUGCGCUCGCUUGGAAAGCGAGUAAACCGCAAGGUUUCGCGAGUUCGAAUCUCGCCCUCUCCG
rnacentral:tRNA from 1 species